rnacentral:rRNA from 3 species
AUGGGCGCAAGCCUGAUGCAGCCAUGCCGCGUGUGUGAAGAAGGCCUUCGGGUUGUAAAGCACUUUCAGUCGUGAGGAAGGUAGUGUAGUUAAUAGCUGCAUUAUUUGACGUUAGCGACAGAAGAAGCACCGGCUAACUCCGUGCCAGCAGCCGCGGUAAUACGGAGGGUGCGAGCGUUAAUCGGAAUUACUGGGCGUAAAGCGCAUGCAGGUGGUUUGUUAAGUCAGAUGUGAAAGCCCGGGGCUCAACCUCGGAAUAGCAUUUGAAACUGGCAGACUAGAGUACUGUAGAGGGGGGUAGAAUUUCAGGUGUAGCGGUGAAAUGCGUAGAGAUCUGAAGGAAUACCGGUGGCGAAGGCGGCCCCCUGGACAGAUACUGACACUCAGAUGCGAAAGCGUGGGGAGCAAACAGGAUUAGAUACCCUGGUAGUCCACGCCGUAAACGAUGUCUACUUGGAGGUUGUGGCCUUGAGCCGUGGCUUUCGGAGCUAACGCGUUAAGUAGACCGCCUGG